GAUGAACGCUAGCUACAGGCUUAACACAUGCAAGUCGAGGGGCAGCACAGUGUAGCAAUACACGGGUGGCGACCGGCGCACGGGUGCGUAACGCGUAUCCAACCUUCCCGUUACUCAGGGAUAGCCUUCCGAAAGGGAGAUUAAUACCUGAUGGUGUUCAAAUUCCGCAUGUUAUUUGAACUAAAGAUUUAUCGGUAACGGAUGGGGAUGCGUGACAUUAGAUAGUAGGCGGGGUAACGGCUCACCAAGGCAACGAUCAUUAGGGGUUCUGAGAGGAAGGUCCCCCACACUGGAACUGAGACACGGUCCAGACUCCUACGGGAGGCAGCAGUGAGGAAUAUUGGUCAAUGGAGGCAACUCUGAACCAGCCAAGUAGCGUGCAGGACGACGGCCCUAUGGGUUGUAAACUGCUUUUAUGCGGGGAUAAAUGAUCCUACGUGUAGGAUUUUGCAGGUACCGCAUGAAUAAGGACCGGCUAAUUCCGUGCCAGCAGCCG
rnacentral:rRNA from 1 species